UUAAGAGGUGGACUGAGCUGGAAGAGGUGAGUCGCUGGGUUUUACUGCUGAAGGGUAUAUGUUGUCCCUGGGCCUUCUUCUCUUGCUCUCUCCUUCCAGUCUCUAUGAGGUAAGCACUUCCGGUCUCUAUGACAUGAGCAGCUUUGUUCCACCACACCCUUCCAGGCCCAGAAACAAUAGAGCCAGUCAACUAAGGGCUGAAAUUUUGGAAUCCAUGAACCAAAUACAUCUUUCCAUCUUUAAAUCACUCACCAUCUCAGGAAACUUCAAAAGCAGGCAAAAGCAAGUGUCAUUGGAUAGGUUCCUUAUUAAAGUCACAUGGAAAGGACAAGAUUCCACUGAGCCAAUAGCUAUGAUUCUGGUAGUGAUAAUGAAAGUCAUCCUACACAAUAACCCUUCUCUGUUUCGCCUUCCUCACAUCAGCCAGGAAGGUUUUCAAAGGUACCCAAGAUAAACUGAAGACUCUAUAAUUACUACAGUUGUCCUUUCCCUGUUAUAAAAAACAGGUUCUCCUGCUGCUGACUUUGCAUAUCAGGACUCUCUUCUGCCCAAUCUUUCUGCAUUUUGUAAAACAAAGGCUGGUGGUCUUGCAAUUACAUUUUCCAGGCCCUUGAGUGCUCUGGGAUGUGAGUAAUCAGGCCCUGCUGAUGUAAACGCACCCAGAUUUCUGAAGGGCUCUUCAAUCACUCCUUCCCUGUUUGCCUUUGCGCCUCCAACAGGAUAGCACUUAAUCUGUUUUAGUUUCCCUAUCACUGGAGUGGUGGCCCGCCUGGAAUCUCAGCACUGGGGAGGUGGAGGCAGAAGGAUCACCUCCAAUUUGAGGCCAGCUUGGGCCUCCAUAGUUCAAGGCUAGCCUGACCUACAUAGCAAGACCCUUGUUUGUCUAAGCCCAAAUGUUCUGUUUUAGUAACACGAAGGUAUCUGGAAUACCUGUAUUUUGA